rnacentral:lncRNA from 1 species
AUGGUGGCAGAGCUCUGGAGGCUGAGGAAAGGAGCCGAGAAUUGCAGCACACAAAAAGUAAAGUCACGAGGAAACACGACAGAAACAAAAGCAUCCGUUUCAGGGUCCAGCACUGGAACCUCUGACACAGUUUCCGGGUUCUUCCUUUCAGAAAACGUUAUCUGGUUAUAUUAUCCAAAAUCAAGACUUUUCACCUCAAAACUGGCUUGGAGAAAUCAUGGGUUCCUAUCAAGACGCCAAAUGGUACAGCAUGUUGCAUCCUCCUCCCAAAACUUCAGAAGUCCUAAGGAACUAUGCAUUCCCAGAAAUAACAAGAGUGACAACCCUGGGAAAUGACAGAGGCCUGAAGGCUGUCUCUUAAUUGGUGGGUAGCCUGGGGUUAGGGGCAGUGGGUGGCAGCCUUGAGGGGCUCAGUGUGAGGGAAAAUUUUAAGGACCGUUCUUGCCUCUCCCCUGA